AACGAACGCUGGCGGCAGGCCUAACACAUGCAAGUCGAGCGCCCCGCAAGGGGAGCGGCGGACGGGUGAGUAACGCGUGGGAACGUACCCUUUGCUACGGAAUAGCCUCGGGAAACUGGGAGUAAUACCGUAUGUGCCCUUCGGGGGAAAGAUUUAUCGGCAAAGGAUCGGCCCGCGUUGGAUUAGGUAGUUGGUGGGGUAAUGGCCUACCAAGCCGACGAUCCAUAGCUGGUUUGAGAGGAUGAUCAGCCACACUGGGACUGAGACACGGCCCAGACUCCUACGGGAGGCAGCAGUGGGGAAUCUUAGACAAUGGGCGCAAGCCUGAUCUAGCCAUGCCGCGUGAGCGAUGAAGGCCUUAGGGUUGUAAAGCUCUUUCAGUGGGGAAGGAUAAUGACUGUACCCACAGAAGAAGCCCGGCUAACUCCGUG
rnacentral:rRNA from 1 species